GAUGAAGAACGUAGCGAAAUGCGAUAAGUAAUGUGAAUUGCAGAAUUCAGUGAAUCAUCGAAUCUUUGAACGCACAUUGCGCCCCUUGGUAUUCCGGGGGGCAUGCCUGUUCGAGCGUCAUUAUCACCCCUCAAGCUCAGCUUGGUGUUGGGGCCUGCCGUCAAGGCAGCCCUUAAAAUCAGUGGCGGCGCCAUCUGGCUCUAAGCGUAGUAAUACUUCUCGCUACAGGGUCCCCGUGGUGUCUUGCCAGAACCCCUCAUUUUUUAUGAUUGACCUCGGAUCAGGUAGGGAUACCCGCUGAACUUAAGCAUAUCAAUAAGCGGAGGA
rnacentral:misc_RNA from 1 species